AAAUAAAAAACAGAAAGUAGAGCAAAAAUAUCUCACCAUCUGCAAAUCUACCACGUUGAAACUAAGACGGUGCGCGGCAUACCCAACCAUAGCCUAAAUUCAAUUCCAACAAACAAUCAGAAGCGACCAUCACUCUGACAAUAACAUAAUAGCCUAAAAGAGAAUCCCGCUCCAUUGUCUUGUAAAAAAAAAAAACAUGUCUGCAAACAGAGAACAAGGAUACUCCAAUCAUCAACCCACGAAUUGACAGUGGAGGUGCCAACCCUCACCAAUAGCCAAUCUUGUCAUUACCCUCAUCAUCAACCCUUCAUCGAAUAGCCAUCUCCUAUAAAAAUGGGGAGUAAGAAAAAAACAAAGGCAAGGUUAGAAACUAGAGGAAGUUAGAAAUGAAAGUGGAGAAUAGUUUUUUUGGGGUUCAAUUUAAAUCAUUUUCAAAGGGGCCCAAGUCCUCAAAAUCAGUGGAAAAGAAAGUUAAGAACAAAGGCAGCCUACCUAGAGGUGACUACCAUCAAAACAAUAAAAGAUAAAGAGAAGACCACAACUUUGAGCUCGGAUCUACGCAAAUCCAAUUUGAAGAAACCAAGCAGAUUACGUGAUAGAGGAGACUGAAACAAACCUCAAGAUAAAAACUAGGUUAGAACGGUCAUUGGUGAUGAGGUCGAUGGUGACUAGCGACGGCAGCGACAAUGGCAUCUUGUCAGGAUCUGAAAAUGUAUGGAGUUUUCUAGAGAAAGAUAGAGCAGAAAUUAUAAAGAGAAAGAAAG
rnacentral:lncRNA from 1 species